GAUAAAUGCUUCAGGUUUAGGUGGAGCCAGAAGUACUUUACAACUGUCAAAGAACCUCAGCCUUUGACAAUAUCAAGGUGUAUUUUGAGGAGUUACGGCACCAGAGACAACGACCUUGGCUUAAAGACGGGCACUGCUUUCGUUUCUUGGUACCAAACAGCCCCAGCAUAGCAGGAAGAUCCAAAUGAAGACUGCUGACUCAUUUAUAGACCUGAUUCUCCUCUAUGGAUCAAGGUGUACUGCAGAGGACAGGCCAUAGGAGGUGCCACAGAUGGCUCCACCUGGCUGCAAGAGAGAGGACAAAGGGGAAGAAAAAGGACAGUGCUGGCAAAUGUCCUUGGCUCAGCAGCUACUUCCCAGCAACAAGUCUGCACUGCAGAAGAGAACAGACGCAUUUUGGGGGGCAGCUAGCCACCUUUGUGACAGCUGUUUGCUAACUGUAUGCAACUUGGAUUGCAUCCUUCUAGGUCUCACAUUCCCCUCAGUUAAAUGAGGAAGAUAAUCCCAUUUACCUCACUGGCUUGUUGGAGGAUUAAAUGGGACAAUUCAUGUAAAGCACUGAGCACAAUGUUGGCACUUAGCAAGAUUUCAGGAAGUGUCAGCUGUUCUUAUUAAUAUCUAAGUCUUUAU